UACGAAGGGGGCUAGCGUUGUUCGGAUUUACUGGGCGUAAAGCGCACGUAGGCGGAUCGAUCAGUCAGGGGUGAAAUCCCAGAGCUCAACUCUGGAACUGCCUUUGAUACUGUCGAUCUGGAGUAUGGAAGAGGUGAGUGGAAUUCCGAGUGUAGAGGUGAAAUUCGUAGAUAUUCGGAGGAACACCAGUGGCGAAGGCGGCUCACUGGUCCAUUACUGACGCUGAGGCGCGAAAGCUAGGGGAGCAAACGGG
rnacentral:rRNA from 1 species